rnacentral:rRNA from 1 species
GAUGAACGCUAGCGGCAGGCUUAAUACAUGCAAGUCGAGGGGUAACAUGGUAGCAAUACUGAUGACGACCGGCAAACGGGUGCGGAACACGUACAGAACCUCCCUUUAAGCGGGGAUAGCCCAUAGAAAUGUGGAUUAAUACCCCAUAGUAAUAUUAGUUGGCAUCAAUUGAUAUUUAAAGAUUUAUCACUUAAAGAUGGCUGUGCGGCUGAUUAGGUAGUUGGUGCGGGAACGGCCCACCAAGCCAGCGAUCAGUACUGGUGUGAGAGCACGACCAGUCA